UACGUAGGGUGCAAACGUUGCUCGGAAUUAUUGGGCGUAAAGCGCACGUAGGCGGCUUGGCAAGUCUGAUGUGAAAGCCCACGGCUCAACCAUGGAAGUGCAUCCGAAACUGCUGAGCUUGAGUACUUAAGAGGAUCGCGGAAUUCCCGGUGUAGAGGUGAAAUUCGUAGAUAUCGGGAGGAACACCAGUGGCGAAGGCGGCGAUCUGGGAAGAUACUGACGCUGAGGUGCGAAAGCGUGGGGAGCAAACAGG
rnacentral:rRNA from 1 species